UGACGUACUCUAAAGAACCGCUUAGGCAAUGCUGACAGAGCUAGAACGAGUGUCUACUCGCAGUUUCAUAAGAGCGUGUCACAGACCAGCUAGACCGCUGAGGUAAUUGCUAGUUGUGGCAGCCCGGGAUCGAAAGAACCGACUGUCAGGUUAUUCGUUUCGCGCAUCUGACUAUAGCAGUGCAGGCGAUGCUGCUGCCACAAGCCCCGAAAGCGAAGUGACGAAGUAGCAACACCAAGAGAGGUGCGAGACGACGUAGACAGAAAUGAACUAGAGUUUCUGUGUGGAGCGAAACGUCUUGUGGUCAGUGCGUGCUUCUGUGCACGCUGUACAACUUUUGGCAAUGGCUCCGGGACUAAGCAAUGGCUGCUCUGUGGAACAACAAGAAAUGGUACUGAAAUGACUGAAUGCGGGUAUUGUGGAUGUUUGCCGGUUUCCAAUGAAGUCACACAGAAACAGUUGUCACAGAACAGCGCAUCACACACGGGCCGCCACACAGUCCGAAGCACAAGAAGGCAGUGACAGAUUUCACGCCAUGCCAGCUUCGCGCCCAGAAAAGCGGCUUUUUAUUGCUGAGAGCAGUCCAGUGCUUACGGCCUGUGCGAUCUGUGCGAUUUUUUCAAUAAUAUUUUUUGAUAGCGCUGUAGCUAAGCAAGAUGCAUCACUGAAUGAAGAGAGGUUUUGUGUCUUCGG